rnacentral:misc_RNA from 1 species
UGUAGGAGCGAACCUGCUCGCGAUGCUGGGUCAGUUACCGCUGUGGUGACUGAUCCUCCAUCGCGAGCAGGCUCGCUCCUACA